AUAUCACAAAGGAGUGAGUAGGGAAUAGGGUGAUAUGGAAGCAAAGUUUCUAUAUUUUCUUGGAAUUAAAUUAGUAUUAAUCUAAAGUACAUGUGGUAAGGUAAGAUGCAUAUUUUAAUCACAAGACUAACCACUAAGAAAAUAAAAAUAUAAACUUUAAAAAGCAAGGAAAUGGCCAGUGAUGAUGAGCAUUUUUUCAUGUGUUAAAUAUCAAAAUUGUAAUUUGAUUCCCUCAUCAUAUGCAACUGAGUUAUGUGCUUUGGCAACUCACAUCCUCUGAGAAGCAGACCAAGACAGGAUUAAAUAUGCAAGAUACUCACUGAGGAAAAU
rnacentral:lncRNA from 1 species